CUUUGCUGGGAUGAACUGUUAACCGGCGAAGUGACUGAGAUGUCAGGCUGCCAGUCUUUAAAAUUAUAUUGCUCUCUCACCUAAGGUCAAAAUGGUUCUACUAAGGUCUAAGAAGCUACUAAGUUACCUGGGACCCCAAUACAAAUACAAAUAUCUGUACGAUGGAAGACAAUCUUCACUCACCUCAUCCACGAGCACUUUCCCCAGUGAAUUUCUGGCAUGUGGUCUGUUCAUCAGAAUUUCUGCAAUACCUGUACUCCAAAAUAAAAUAAAGAACUCUUUUUCAUUUA